UUCAAUCCUACACGUUAUUGUACUACAGUACAGUAGGUGGCGGUAUACUGUAGUAUGCUGUUCAUGUCCGCAUCGUCAUACGCGCCAGCACCCCUGAAAGACUGCAGGAACAGAAACCCCUGGAAAGAUGAGUUCCCUAUUAAAGAGAGGCUUGAUGCUGUUUACUCCACACUCUUAGGCUGAUUUUGGAUUAUUUGUCUGUGAAGACACAGUAGUUCAGUUUCUGAAUCCCAUCAAGAAUGAAGACCUGCAGGCCACCAUAUUGAGCUGCAGGGUCUGAUGUCAUAAUAUGGCGCUUUUCCAAUGUAGGGUACAACUUGGCUCGGCACAAUGCAGCUCAUACCGCUUUCAUUGCUUUUCCAGUACAGUUUAGUAUCGCUUCAGAGUGGGUGAGAUUAUAGGCAGGGGUGCACAUAAGGGUGUGUAUGCGCGAUUAGAAACAAUUCCAGCGUACCAACGUUGCUGAAAUUUUGUUACAUAGUUAGCUAAUUUACUGCAACAUAAGGGAUUUCAUAACAUCUCGAUCACUCCCCAGUGACUGGUCCCAGUAUAGGUCAUAAGCCCCGCCUCCCCCAUGUUAUUUAAUGGGACUUGAGACCAAGCUGUUUUUUGUCAUUUACUGUAGGUUUUAUCAUGCUGAUGUAAAUUCAAGUGUUUGUUUUUAAAAUAAGUUUGUUUUUAGUUAGUUAGUUAAUGCUAUAAAACGGUGUUGUCACGUCAUGAUUGACAGCUGUGUAUGCACAUUCUGGGAGAGUGAGGGCGGGGCCUUGAUUUCGCGGCUUUACAUCCUGCUCACUACUGUGCAGGACUGGUCCCGAAAUUGCUACUGCGCAGACUCAAGACCCAAGAUGUCAGCGGCGACACUGGCGGCUUCAUUUUUUACCAAUGGAAGAGAGCAAGCUCUCCAGGUGCUCCUUUUAGAACCAGGACAAAAAAAGUUAUGUGCACCUCUGAUUAUAGGCUUAUUGUUACAGUUGCGUCCCCUCUACUGCCGUAACAUCAUCGUAAAUGUGAUACAAACACACACACAACAUGGAGCAACAUAGCAUAUUAAUGGAAUGUAGCCACAAAAUCAAAAUUGACAGCCACAACUACAUUUUCCACUACCUCUCUCACAUGACAGGUUCUGUACAAACACCCGUGUCAUCAGUAUCAGCUCUCCGCGGACAGAACAUUUAAGCCAUGACGCCUAUAUUUUUGGUGCGUUUUGGAUGCGGAGCCAUGCGCAAAGUUACAAA